UUAAUGAAUAUACAUAUGUGCCAAUGAAGAAACUUAUAAGAAUAGAAAAGAAGAUCAAAACUUUUCAUCAAUAACAUCUAUAAAAACUAAAAUUAAGAUUCAAGUAAUUAUUAACUAUAAAAUAAAUCAAGUUCAAUGAAGAUUACAUUCCAUCUUUUAUUUAUGGUGUUUUAAAGAAAUUUAUAUAAGCCUCAAUAAUGAUCAAAUAUCAUAGUGGUCUUUUUGUUCUAGUAUGAAAUAUUAUCAAUAAGAAAGAAGACCUAUCAACUACCUUUACAGGAAACAAAGAUCAAAGUAUGCAACAAAUAUAAUACAUUACAUCAUGAAUUCUUUCAACAUCUGAUCUUCACACC
rnacentral:lncRNA from 1 species